CUGGAGGUAUCAGAAGUGCGAAUGCUGACAUAAGUAACGAUAAAGCGGGUGAAAAGCCCGCUCGCCGGAAGACCAAGGGUUCCUGUCCAACGUUAAUCGGGGCAGGGUGAGUCGACCCCUAAGGCGAGGCCGAAAGGCGUAGUCGAUGGGAAACAGGUUAAUAUUCCUGUACUUGGUGUUACUGCGAAGGGGGGACGGAGAAGGCUAUGUUGGCCGGGCGACGGUUGUCCCGGUUUAAGCGUGUAGGCUGGUUUUCCAGGCAAAUCCGGAAAAUCAAGGCUGAGGCGUGAUGACGAGGCACUACGGUGCUGAAGCAACAAAUGCCCUGCUUCCAGGAAAAGCCUCUAAGCAUCAGGUAACAUCAAAUCGUACCCCAAACCGACACAGGUGGUCAGGUAGAGAAUACCAAGGCGCUUGAGAGAACUCGGGUGAAGGAACUAGGCAAAAUGGUGCCGUAACUUCGGGAGAAGGCACGCUGAUAUGUAGGUGAGGUCCCUCGC
rnacentral:rRNA from 1 species